AGGGAACACAUAAUUUACUUCCAAAAAAAAGUUCAGAUGUUUUUCAAUCUUUUGCAACUAGAGUUUUAAAGCUAUCAAAUGCACGUGGGCAGGAGCUCUUGUACAGUUCAGGUGCUUGGCCUGUGCUGUAGAUAACAGCAUAUUAGUUUGUGGUCAGUUCCUGUAUUCUGUUUCCAAAUUCUUCCUGUCUGAAAAGAAUAUGUAUCUGUUAUCUAUUUCUUACAGGAUCUGCUAUUUCAAAAACAAAAACCAACCAACCAAAGAGUUUCUGAGGACCUGUGACUUCCAUUGGUUUUGUGGGGUGAUGAAGAUCCUGAAUCUGCAAAAUUAAUGCACAUAAGAAGCUCAUAAGGCAUGAAAUGUUAAUUAAUUGAUUUGAAGAAAUGAUGCAGAAUUACAUCAGUUGUAGUAAGCAGCUUGCCUUGGAAGUCUCUGAAGUCCCUGUCUGUUUCAUCCAAGACUUCAGACUGGAAAGGAUGGUACUUGCGAAGAGUUACUUUGGGAUCUGAGUAUCUGGAAGUUUCUGGUAGCUUAUCUGUUGGGUAAAUGUGAUUGUGUCCUCAUUAGCUAUAUAUAUGAAUACAUAUCAAACAUCUAAUUCUUCUGAGUUUUUAAAAGUUCCUAUCAGCGCAUUUUUUGGUAGAGGUCAGAGCAAAGAAGAAUAUUUAGAGGAUGGUGUAGAAUAAUAAAUCAAUAGUUAAGAAAAUGAAAAUAAAUUAU
rnacentral:lncRNA from 1 species